rnacentral:sRNA from 1 species
UGGCGUCAAUUUAGGGCCAUUUGCUGGCCUAU